rnacentral:rRNA from 1 species
UACGUAGGCGGAAUAAUAAGUCAGUGGUGAAAUCCUGCGGCUCAACCGUAGAACUGCCAUUGAAACUGUUAUUCUUGAAUGUAGUUGAGGUAGGCGGAAUGUGUAAUGUAGCGGUGAAAUGCUUAGAUAUUACACAGAACACCGAUUGCGAAGGCAGCUUACUAAACUAUGAUUGACGCUGAUGUACGAAAGCGUGGGGAGCGAACAGGAUUAGAUACCCUGGUAGUC